GGCUGUUCUUAUGCAGCUAAUACCAUGCACAUACUAAAAUCUAGAGUUCAAAUGAACUUUCCUAUAAGGGUAUUUUAUGGUUUCAUAUCUCCUAAAUAAGUAAAAACCCUUUUCUUAAGUAUUCUAGCUAAGUCAAUAAUUUCUGAUUCCGCAAACCAAACCACGGAACAUGCAAUAUUGCGUCGCUUUUCUAUGUACAAAUCUUAGCCUAUCCCUGUGCUGUCCUCAUCUAGUUAUAUUUUCUGUUCAUCAUCUUCAAAUCCCUUACCUUCAUCUUCAAAUGGAAUGCAUGUCGAUUCCUCAUAGAG
rnacentral:misc_RNA from 1 species